AGCAGUGAAUUGCGAGUGAGGAGUGCUGGUGGAGCAUUAUGUCUCAGCUUCCCAAAGAAAUAUUUGGCUCCAAAAAUGAAAAGAAAGAAAAGAAAAAGACAGGCGAGAGAAAAGAAAGGGCGACAGUAUGUCACCUAAUUUUUCACAAAGAAAGGCCCAACAGAUGCAGCUUCAGGGUCAGUAGCCCUGUCUCCCCAUCCCCACCUCCCUGAACCAGCCCUACUCCCAACUGAAGAAGGAGGACAUGCUAACUUGUCCCGGACCUGCUGUUUCGACACUCUCUCUCUCCCUCCACCGCAUCUGCCGUCUCAACCUCCGAAUGCUUGGCUAUGAAAAGCGAAUUGACAUUUACUACUGAGGUGUUGACCUGUUGCACCCUCUACAACCAUUUUGACCAUUAUUUGACGCUGCUGGUCAUCUAUGAACAUCUUUUUAAAAACUAUCUGGCAUUAAUGGCCACGUACUCUUAUGUCAACCCGGCACAGCCAGAAGAGGACUGGCCACUCCUCAGAGCCUGGUUCCCCUCAAGGUUUCUUCCUAAGUGCCUACCUUUCUAGGGAGUUUUUCAUAGCUACCGUGCUUCUACAUCUGCAAAGCUUGCUCUUUGGGGUUUUAGGCUGGGUUUCUGUAUUAGCAUCUGCUGAUGUAAAAAGGGCUUUUAAAUACAUUUGAUUGAUUGAUUGUUCCAUAAUUAUGCAUUAUACUUUUUUGGAUGCGCAUUUGGGUGUCGAGUUGUUUAAUUAUGCCAUAUUUUCCCACAUCAUCAUCUGAUCCAGGAAGGAAUUUCUGAAUGACAGUCAAGUGAAGAACAGCUGUUGCAACAACAGCCCAAGUGCUGUAAAAAACUGUUGGUGAGGAACGUCUAGAAUAUUUUGGUGUCUCAUUUUUUAUGACGGUGAAGACAGCUGGUCCUGGAUCCACGUUAGAUCUAAUAUCCCUAGCGAAUUGAUGUUCAUCGGUUGUUUGCUUGAUUUACAGCAGGGUCUCGCAAGAUUUAACAGAGAAAGCAUCAAGGUAAUGAGUUCACAUUUUCAUAUGUUUUUUAGCCUCAGAUUGGACAGAGUUUACUGUACACAAUUGUGUAGGAUAGACUAUUGUGCAACACCCAAAACUAUUCCUAUUAAUAAUUCUGGAUAUAAUGACAACAAAUUACAUAGCCUAAUGGACUUAUUCACAAUAUGAUCUGGUAAUGAAAUACCGUAACAAAUACAUUUUGGUUUUUAUGUAACACCCAGGGGUGAAAGUAGAUCGAAUUUCUUCCCGGUACAGUACUUUUUAUGGGCCUAAUCAUAGAAUGACAUAAAUAAUCCCUAUUCAAUAGGACCUCGUCGGACCAUAAACGUAUGGCCUUUUAUUGUGGCAUAAACACUACCAGUCAUGAUGUUUUCAUCUGAUUGUCAAAAAUCACUUCAAAUGCCUCCUUUACUAGGCUACCCGUGCAAAUUCAUCCACCUGCAACAUAUUUCCUACAUCCAAACAGUGGUGAAUAGAAAGCCACAUCUUUCCCAGAAUUUAUGCCUCCACUGCUGUCCGCGCGCGUCUCAUUGUCGACCACUCAUCUCUGCCUUGACAAAAUGUCAGUGUUCUCGUCGAACCACCACAUUUUGGUGUGUAGGUUAUACCACCUGUUUUCAAGUCCAUUCGCAAAUUCAUCAUUCCUCUGGCAUGCGGUAAUGAUAAAUAGUGGUGUAAUAGCCAAUAGAUUUGACAUUUUGUUUUCAUUAUUGUGAUAGACUCAUGUUUUACUGGUACGACGUACCCCCACUAUUUAUUUUGCAGGGACGCUGUAAUGGACCGUACCACCUUACUUUCACCCCUGCAAUUUCGAAAAAUUACAAGGGGCUUGAAGUAGGCUUCUUGAAAUUGAAUACUG